AAUAGCGUAUAUUAAGUUGCUGCAGUUAAAAAGCUCGUAGUUGGAUUUCUGACUUGAAACAUUUUGCCGGCCACGGUUUCGUGUGUUAGUGCUUGAUGUUCUGGUCAUCCUUCCAAUCGCUAUCGGCUCGUCUUCAUUGCCGGGUCGCGUAGUAUUGGAUCUUUUACUUUGAAAAAAUUAGAGUGUUUCAAGCAGGCUUUAUGCUAUGAAUACAUUAGCAUGGAAUAAUAAUUUAGGACUUCGGUUCUAUUUUGUUGGUUUCUAGGACUGAAGUAAUGAUUGAUAGGGACAGUUGGGGGUGCUAGUAUUCAGCGGCCAGAGGUGAAAUUCUCGGAUUCGCUGAAGACUAACUUAUGCGAAAGCAUUCACCAAGGAUGUCUUCUUUAAUCAAGAACGAAAGUUGGGGGAUCGAAGACGAUCAGAUACCGUCGUAGUCUCAACCAUAAACUAUGCCGACUAGGGAUGAGUGAACGUUGCAUUUUCGACUUCAUUCGCACCUUAUGAGAAAUCAAAGUCUUUGGGUUCCGGGGGGAGUAUGGUCGCAAGGCUGAAACUUAAAGGAAUUGACGGAAGGGCACCACCAGGAGUGGAGCCUGCGGCUUAAUUUGACUCAACACGGGAAAACUUACCAGGUCCAGACGCAGUAAGGAUUGACAGAUUGAAGAUCUUUCUUGAU
rnacentral:precursor_RNA from 1 species